rnacentral:misc_RNA from 1 species
GAUGAAGAACGUAGCGAAAUGCGAUACUUGGUGUGAAUUGCAGAAUCCCGUGAACCAUCGAGUCUUUGAACGCAAGUUGCGCCCGAAGCCAUUAGGCCGAGGGCACGCCUGCCUGGGCGUCUCACGUCGUUGCCCCCCCAUCUACUCCUUCGGGAUUGCGGGGGGCGGAUGAUGGCCUCCCGUGCGCCUCGUCGCGCGGUUGGCCUAAAUGCCAAGUCCUCGGCGACGCACGCCACGACAAUCGGUGGUUGCGAAACCUCGGUUGCCUGUCGUGUGCGGUCGUCGCGCAUCGAGGGCUCGAAAAAAUUGCCGGGCUUCGGCUCGACUUUCAACGCGACCCCAGGUCAGGCGGGGUUACCCGCUGAAUUUAAGCAUAUCAAUAAGCGGAGGA